rnacentral:rRNA from 1 species
GGUCCUAAGGUAGCGAAAUUCCUUGUCGGGUAAGUUCCGACCUGCACGAAUGGCGUAAUGAUGGCCAGGCUGUCUCCACCCGAGACUCAGUGAAAUUGAACUCGCUGUGAAGAUGCAGUGUACCCGCGGCAAGACGGAAAGACCCCGUGAACCUUUACUAUAGCUUGACACUGAACAUUGAGCCUUGAUGUGUAGGAUAGGUGGGAGGCUUUGAAGCGUGGACGCCAGUCUGCGUGGAGCCAACCUUGAAAUACCACCCUUUAAUGUUUGAUGUUCUAACGUUGGCCCCUUAUCGGGGUUGCGGACAGUGUCUGGUGGGUAGUUUGACUGGGGCGGUCUCCUCCCAAAGCGUAACGGAGGAGCACGAAGGUUAGCUAAUCCUGGUCGGACAUCAGGAGGUUAGUGCAAUGGCAUAAGCUAGCUUGACUGCGAGCGUGACGGCGCGAGCAGGUGCGAAAGCAGGUCAUAGUGAUCCGGUGGUUCUGAAUGGAAGGGCCAUCGCUCAACGGAUAAAAGGUACUCCGGGGAUAACAGGCUGAUACCGCCCAAGAGUUCAUAUCGACGGCGGUGUUUGGCACCUCGAUGUCGGCUCAUCACAUCCUGGGGCUGAAGUAGGUCCCAAGGGUAUGGCUGUUCGCCAUUUAAAGUGGUACGCGAGCUGGGUUUAGAACGUCGUGAGACAGUUCGGUCCCUAUCUGCCGUGGGCGCUGGAGAAUUGAGGGGGGCUGCUCCUAGUACGAGAGGACCGGAGUGGACGCAUCACUGGUGUUCGGGUUGUCAUGCCAAUGGCACUGCCCGGUAGCUAAAUGCGGAAGAGAUAAGUGCUGAAAGCAUCUAAGCACGAAACUUGCCCCGAGAUGAGUUCUCCCUGAGACUUUAAGUCUCCUGAAGGAACGUUGAAGACGACGACGUUGAUAGGCCGGGUGUGUAAGCGCAGCGAUGCGUUGAGCUAACCGGUACUAAUGAACCGUGAGGCUUAACCUU